UACAGAGGUCUCAAGCGUUGUUCGGAUUCAUUGGGCGUAAAGGGUGCGUAGGCGGCGGCGUAAGUCGGAUGUGAAAUCCCAGGGCUCAACCCUGGAACUGCAUUCGAUACUGCGUCGCUGGAGGACUGGAGAGGAGACUGGAAUUCACGGUGUAGCAGUGAAAUGCGUAGAUAUCGUGAGGAAGGCCAGUGGCGAAGGCGAGUCUCUGGACAGUUCCUGACGCUGAGGCACGAAGGCCAGGGGAGCAAACGGG
rnacentral:rRNA from 1 species